rnacentral:lncRNA from 1 species
GCCAUUAGCUAGCUUCAAACUGAAGUACAUGAAAGUUUACAAUCUUACAGCAUAAUUAACACAAGUCAAAAUAUAGCUCUUUAAAAAUUUAAGAUAUCAUGUGGAACCUGAGAAUGCAUGUAAAAAUGAAACAAAAAGGGAAGACUUCAACUAGGGAUAAGUGUAGAAAUCAGAGUAUUUAUAUACAACCUAUGACACUACUUUAGGAAACUCUAAGUUAGGAAAGAUACUAAAUAGGAGAUAUGAUCCCUUAAAAUAAGGGAUUUUAAUAAAGAAAAUAUCUACAAAAUAUUCCUAAAAUAUUUACAGAAUAUUCCUACACUCCCCCUCAAGCUGGAGAAUAUACAUUGUAUAGUCCCAGCUUGAAUAGGAAUUUAUUGAACACAGGUUUUAGCAAAGCCUUGGUAAGAAUGUCUGCAAUCUGUCCUUCUGAAGGAAUGUAAGAAAGAGUGGCUGUCUUUUUGUUGACUUGAUCAGCAAUAAAAUGCCUAUCAAUUUCAACAUGCUUUGUUCGGUCAUGUUGAACUGGGUUCUUGGCAAUCUGAAUGGCAGAUUGAUUAUCACACAAAACUUCAAAGUGAUCUUCCUGAUUUGUGCCAAGUUCUUUUAGUAAUUUAAGUAGCCAAAUUCCUUCGCAUAUCCCCAAAGCUAGUGCUCUAAAUUCAGCUUCAGCACUACUUCUUGAAACAACAGAUUGUUUCUUACUUCUCCAAGUUGUAAGGUUACCCCAAACAAAAGUGCAGUACCCACUAGUGGAUCUUCUUUCAGUGAGAUCUCCAGCCCAACUAGAGUCUGUAAAAAUCUUAACAGUUCUGUCUUGUGUCUUCUUAAACAUUAAGCCGUGUCCUGGAGUUUUCUUCAAGUACUUGAGAAUUCUAUUUGCUGCUGCCAUAUGCUCUUCAGUAGGAUUAGUCAUGUGUUGACUUAUCACAUUUACGGGAAAAGCUAUAUCUGGCCUUGUCAAGGAUAAGUAGAUUAGUUUCCCAACUAACCUUUGAAAUUUCUCUCUGUCUACUAAGGACUCAUCUUCUUUAUUGAAUCUCAAGUUUGCCUCCAUUGGUGUAUCAGCCGGCUUACAGCCAAGAAAACCAGUUUCUUUGAGUAAAUCAAGUACAUACUUUCUCUGGUUGAUCACAAGUCCUUCUUUUGAUCUUGCCACCUCCAUUCCUAGGAAAUACCUUAGCUUUCCCAAGUCCUUGGUUUCGAAUUCCCUGUUUAACAACUUCUUCAAAUUGCUAAUCUCUUCCUCAUCAUCUCCAGUAAGAAUGAUGUCAUCCACAUACACAAUUAGGAUAGCUUUCUUAUUUGUAGAAGUUACCUUGAUGAAAAGCGUAUGAUCGGUAAGGGACUGCUUGUAGCCAUUUUGAAGAAUGACUUUAGUGAACCUCUCGAACCAAGCUCUGGGUGAUUGUUUUAACCCGUAUAGAGACUUGUUGAGCUUGCAAACCUUGUUGCUACCUUCAAUAGACUUUGAGCCAGGUGGCAAUUGCAUAUAGACUUCUUCCUCAAGCUUGCCAUUAAGAAAUGUGUUUUUUACAUCAAGUUGGUGUAAUUUCCAAUCGCAAUUUACAGCCAAACUUAGGAGUACUCGAAUAGUGUUAAACUUUGCCACAGGUGCAAAAGUUUCUGUGAAGUCUAUCCCAUAUGUUUGCGUGAAACCUCUGGCCACUAGUCUAGCUUUGUAUCGUUGGAUACUGCCAUUGGAGUUAUACUUUACAGCAAAGAUCCAUUUACAGCCAACAGCCUUUUUUCCUUGAGGAAGGUCUGUAAUGGUCCAAGUAGCAUUUUUCUCUAGUGCACAAAUUUCCUCUUCAACAGCCUUUCUCCAUUUUGGAUCCUUUAGAGCUUCAGCUAUGCUUGUGGGAACCUGUUCUUUAUCCAAAGUUGCUGUAAAUGCUUGAAAAGACGGCAUCAAUGAAUUAUAACCAGUAAAUUUUUCAAUAGGAUGCUUGGUGCACUGUCUAACCCCUUUUCUAAUAGCAAUAGGAAAGUCAUCUAGAGUAGUGGACUUACUGAUUUCUUCUUCCAUUUCGGCAGCUGGACCCAAAUCCAAUUCUCGGCAAGAAUCAGAUUGCAAAACAAUCUCAGGGAUAUGUCUUCUUUUUCUUGUGUAGACACGAAGCUGUUUGGGUGAUGGUGUUUUUUGAAGACUGUCAAUUGGAGUAGGUGUAUUUUCAGGAAGAGUGUUUAAAGUGGGUGUAGGUGAAUUAGUCAUAGGUACUACAGGAGAAUCAAUGGGAGCAUUCACAGGUGACAGAUCUGCAGGUAAUGGCGAACAAGAUGGCAAUUCUGAAGGUUGAGAAUGAAGAUUAGAAGGAGAUACCUGUUGUGGCUGAAAAUCACUCCAUGUUUCCCCCUGAAUUUCAGCCUGAGUGAAAUAGGAAUCCUGCUCAUAAAAUGUUAUAUCCAUAGUGGUGAAAAAUCGUUUAGAAGGAGGAUGAUAGCAUUUAUAACCCUUCUUAAGUGAAGAAUACCCAACCAAUACACAUUUUAAAACUUAUUAGGAGCAAUAUUUUGGAUAAAAACAGUGCAGCCAAAAAUUUUAAGUGGCAGAAUGGAGGAGAUAGGCUUAAAAUGAGGAAAGUGCUGCAAAAAUAUAGAUUGAGGCGUUUGAAAUUUUAAAACCUUACUAGGCAUCCGGUUGAUUAAAUAUGUGGCAGUUAAUAAGGCUUCCCCCCACAAAUAUUUAGGAACAUUAGUGGUAAAUAGAAGAGAACGAGUAACUUCAAGAAGGUGCCUAUUUUUUCUUUCGGCAACGCCGUUUUGCUGUGGGGUUCCAACACAAGAACUAAUCUGAACUAUGCCCUUUUCCUUAAAAAAAUCACCUAAAGACCUAGCAAAAAAUUCACUGCCAUUAUCAGAUUUAAAGAGCUGGAUUUUAGACCCAAAUUGAGUGAGAACCAUGUUAUAAAAUUGCACAAAAACACUAGCAGUUUCAGAUUUAUCUUUCAGCAAAUAAGUCCAAGUUAUCCUACUGUGAUCAUCAAUAAAAGUGAUAAACCACUUACAAUUAUCAGCAUUCUUCACCCGAGAAGGGCCCCAAAUAUCACUAUGGAUCAAAGAAAAAGGGUAAGAAGGCUUGUAUGUAGAAGGAAAAUAAGAUGAUUUAGUAUAUUUGGCAAGAGAGCAAACUUUGCAAGAAAAAGAAUUAGGCCUUUUAUUAAUGAAUAGAGCAAGAAACAAUUUUGCAAGGUAUUGGAAACUAGGAUGGCCUAAACGAAAGUGCCAUAACAUAACAGUAUCAACUUUUCCUAAAGCGGUAAAUGACUUGGAGAUCUCGAUUUUAGGAGAGGUAGGGAGGAUGUAGAGACCAUUAUGCAAGCUGGCCUUACCAAUCAUCUUCUUCGAGUUCAGUGCCUGCAAAGUACAAUCACGAUCAUUAAAAAUUACAAAGCAGUGCAAGUCUGUGGACAAUUUACUAACAGAGAUGAGAUUGCACGCCAGAUUUGGUACAAAGAGAACAUUUUUAAGUGCAAUCUGUUCAUUGAAAAUAACAGUGCCAUGUCCCUCUAUUUUGCACAAGGUACCAUCAGCCGUUUUGACAGCUUUACCAAAGGUAUGGAAAAAAUUGUGAAACAAUGCCUUGUUACCAGUCAUAUGAUCCGUAGCACCAGAAUCGAGGAUCCAAUUAGGAGUCAACUGGGAGGAGAAAAAUGCAGUAGAAGAAAGGUUACCUUCUGGAUCUUUUAUGACCAGAUUACCUUCACAAGACCCUUGAAACUUUCCAAAUAGUUUUUGAAGUUCAGCAAUUUGUUCUUUAGUGAAACUAGUGACAGAGGUGGCAACGACAAGGCUUGAUUUAUUAUCUCGAGAGUGCUUGGACUUCCAGUCCUGAGGCUUACCAUGAAGCUUCCAACACUUCUCCUUAGAGUGGCCGGGCUUUUUGCAAUGAUCACACCAAGGUCUCCCCCGUUUGGAAGAGGGAGAUGAUUGAUGGGUCAGUAAGGCAGAUCUUUCAGAAGUGGAAUAUGGUUCAUCAGACAGCAUCACACACCUUCGGCUUUCUUCCUUCUUGACCAUAGAGAAAGCCUCUCGAAGGGAGGGAAGAGGAGAAAUAGCCAGGACCCUGCCGCGAACCUCGUCCAGGUCCUUAUUUAAGCCUUGGAGAAAUUGAAAAAGUCUUCGUUGAGUAACAAUUUGCUGAUAAAGAGCAGCAUCUCUUGGAUCUACCCAAUCAUAAUGUGCAUACAAAUCUAAUUGUUGCCAAAGAGCAGUAAGGGUAUUGUAGUAGAGAGUAACAGCCAUGGUUCCUUGUUUAAGGGUGGCUCCUUGAUCUUCAACAUGAUAUAAUUCAGCAAUGUUAUCCGUGCUAGAGUAGGUUUCGCGGACUGCACUCCAAAUUUCAGCGGCUGUGGUGUAAAGAAGAAAGUUUUUGCUUAUACUCGGGGUCAUGGAAUUAAGGAGCCAAGUCAUAACCUGACCAUUGUCACGCAUCCACUUAGCAAAACCAGCAUCAGUCACAGCAGGCUUCUUGAUUUCACCAGGAACGUAGUCCAAUCUUUCUCUGCCCAAGAGAAAAAUCUUAACUGAUUGGGACCAUUCAAGAAAAUUGUUGCCAUUCAAUCGAUGGCAGGUGAUAGUCAGACCAGACGAAUCUGAUGGAGCAUCGAAACCAGAAAAAUUUUCUGGAUUUGAAGUAAUCUCCGAAGUAGGAGAAGGAGUUUCGGAUGUAGAAAUCAGAGUAUUUAUAUACAACCUAUGACACUACUUUAGGAAACUCUAAGUUAGGAAAGAUACUAAAUAGGAGAUAUGAUCCCUUAAAAUAAGGGAUUUUAAUAAAGAAAAUAUCUACAAAAUAUUCCUAAAAUAUUUA